rnacentral:lncRNA from 1 species
AAAUUAAUUAUAGAACUAAACUUCUCCACAAACUGUUAAACACAUAAAGUAACUACAACAAGAGAAGAAUAAGAACCCUUGCGGCGGUGAUUUUUAAUUUAUAUUGAAAAACCUCCAACAAAUAAAUAUCUAAUAUCAAACUUGAAAUAGCAACAAACAAAAGUGAUCCAUAAAUCAAAAACUCAACGAGAACUUUUAGAACCUGGAUCUUGAACGGAAAACCCCCGACUUAGUAUGCUUAGUGAAAAUGAAACUUGAGAAUUGGUUAGUCG